AUUGAACGCUGGCGGCAGGCCUAACACAUGCAAGUCGAGCUAAUGAGUGGAGCUUGCUCCACGAUUCAGCGGCGGACGGGUGAGUAAUGCCUAGGAAUCUGCCUGGUAGUGGGGGACAACGUUUCGAAAGGAACGCUAAUACCGCAUACGUCCUACGGGAGAAAGCAGGGGACCUUCGGGCCUUGCGCUAUCAGAUGAGCCUAGGUCGGAUUAGCUUGUUGGUGAGGUAAUGGCUCAACAAGGCGACGAUCCGUAACUGGUCUGAGAGGAUGAUCAGUCACACUGGAACUGAGACACGGUCCAGACUCCUACGGGAGGCAGCAGUGGGGAAUAUUGGACAAUGGGCGAAAGCCUGAUCCAGCCAUGCCGCGUGUGUGAAGAAGGUCUUCGGAUUGUAAAGCACUUUAAGUUGGGAGGAAGGGCAGUCAGCGAAUACCUGAUUGUUUUGACGUUACCGACAGAAUAAGCACCGGCUAACUCUGUGCCAGCAGCCGCCGUAACAC
rnacentral:rRNA from 1 species